AAUAGCUUUGUGAGGUUCUUUGUAUGCCCAGUGAGCAUUCCUAAGGCCACCCACUCAAGGCCAGCUGGACAGUGAUGUUCUUGAAUGUUAAACCCCUCCAUCCCGACCAAACCCCCCCUCACUAUUAGAUGGCUGUUUCUUUAUGUGUUUGCAGAUGGUUGAAUUUCCAGGUAGCUGCGAAUUGUAGCUGACUCUCAGAAAAACGACCACCCUAGCCAAGGAAGUUUAUACCUACCAGUGAGUGGAGUCAGAAGGAACUGGGCUGUUGCGAAGUUGAGGCAACACACUGGAUCCUUCUACUUCCUCCGGGUGCGUCCUCCUUCCAAAUCCCCCAGCCGUGGUUUUCUUCUAAAGCAGCACGGUUGAGUAGAUUCAGUGCGGGGAAAUGAUUAAAGAGCCAUUGCUAAGGAAGUGAUGGUCAAAUGGGACCAUCAGAAGCAUUAAAUCAAGUCCAGUCAAACAUUAUGACAAACCGUUUGUUCCAUUUUGUCCAGAGAGGAGGAAAGGGAAGACAAUAGGUCCCAGCCAGGCUCUAAGCCAGGAAAACCAAGGAGAUGUGUGAACUCUUGAUUGUUAUGAGUUAAUCUGCUGUUAUUUAUAUGAUUGUGAUGGCUGGUCUGCCUAACGAAAAGCAUCCCCAGGAAAGAGUCCUGUGUUAAUAAUAUUUGUAGUGAUUUCCAGCUUUUAUAUGGAUUAAUAAUAAACUUAUUUCAUUUUGAAACA
rnacentral:lncRNA from 1 species